AGAGGAGGGGUUGCUGAGAAAGGGGAGAGAAUAUGGAGAGAAUGGAGAAUAAGGAGAGGGAACAUUCUUCACACUUACAUUGAAAAUCAGCAAUCCCACUAAUGGGUAUCUGCCUAGAGGAAAAGAAGUCAUUAUAUGAAGAAGACACAUGCACACAAAUGUUUACAGCAGCACAAUUAGCAACUGUCAAAAUAUGAAACCAACCUGAGUGCCCAUCAACCAAUGAGUGGAUAAAGAAAAUGUGGUAUAUAUACACCAUGGAAUACAACUCAGCCAUAAAAAGGAAUGAAAUAAUGGCAUUCACAGAAACCUGGAUGGAGUUGCAGACCAUUAUUCUAAGUAAGUUGCUGAAUGAUAAGCAAUAAUGGAAGGAAACUAUGAAAAUCACACUAGAGUGUCAAUGAAAAUCAUCUACAGUUGAUGGUAUCUAAAAGCGAUAUGACACUUCUGAAAUGGCCUUGUGACAUCAUCUCUGAAUAGAGAAGUUGAAUGAAAUAAGUUUGCAAGCACAUUCUGUAAGAACUUCUCCAGAGACAUGGGCUUUAGGUAUGUCUGCCCAGGAGUGCCAGUUACCAGUAAGAGUUUCAGUUCAUGUUUAUUCUGCAAAACUGGGUGAAGAAAAGUUCAUUUAUCAGAAAUACUUUCUCCAUAGAAGGUCUAAACUUUCGACCAGACUGAAGUCUAUUCAUGUAAUCAACUGUCUUUAAUAUUCAAUGUUCUUACUACAACAGCUGGGCAGGAUUGUCUUUCCCUCCCUGAACAUUUCUUCCCUCUUUGUCAGAAAACAAAUGAAUGUCCUCAGUAUUAUCAGAGUAAGUCCUUUAUCUACCCAAGGGUGCCAGGAUAUUUUAUCAAGUAAACAAAUUAAAAUAUUUCACUUUCAUUUGCCAACUGAAUGAUUCCCGCUCCUUUGUCCACCAAUCCCCACCUCACUUAUUAAUGUUCACUGAGCAAUAAGGCACCACUUGAUUUGUUGAUUCUAGGACAAUAAUAAGUGAAUAAUAGAGCACCACUUGAUUUGCUCAUUUUAGGACAAUAACAAUUCAAGAUCAUCUUAAUCCAAAGGUUCCCAAAUGUUACUGUACUUAGAACUACCUGGGGAAUUUAUAAAACCCCGAUGUCUAUGCUGCACUGCAUAACAACUAAAUCAGAAUAUUUGGAGGUGAAAAACAGGCAUCAAUCAUUUAGAGCAACAUUACAAACAAAUAAAAAUGUUCAAAAUUUUUUUCUAUUAAACACUUAUGAAUUCUGAAUAAAAUGAAAUAAAUGCUGUUCAAAAGGUUUUGCUGAGCUUACAACAAAUUAAGGCAAAUCAUUGGUUUUGAGGUGAUCCACAAAACCAAUAAUCAUAUAAAAAUGCUCAAACUCUUUAGUAAUUAGGAAAAUGCAAAUUAAAGCAAUAAUUACCUGCAAUUUUACACCCGUUACAUUGGCAAAAAUUUUUAAAAAUAACAAUAACUAAUGGCAAGAUAUGGGGCAAAGGGAACUCUUAUUCACUGCUGACAGAUUUUAAAUAGGCACAGCCCCUUUGGAGAGCAAUUUUAUACUCUCUAGUGAAGUGGAAGAUGCACAUAUAUUAUAACUCAGCAAUUACACUUCCCCUGUGGCCGUAUGUGUCCAGGGAGAGGAGCACAAGAAUGUUCAUUAUAGCGUUGUUUGUAAUAUUGAAAAAUUGAAGGCUGCUUGAAUUUGCAUUGAAGAUGUUGUAUUAUUCACUCAUAGAGCAAAUUAUAGGCACUAAAAUGAAGGAACAAGAGCUGCUUAUAUUAAUGUGGAUAAUUAUUGAAAAUAUUGUAAAAAUAAAUUUCAAAAUGAUCUUAAAAUAUAUUAUCUUUAAUACAAUGUUAAUACAUGCAACGUAAAUUACAUGCUGCUGGGAGGUAACUACAUACAAGAUAACGUGUUAAAAUGUGCAUAAGAAUUUAAGUGCCAAGUUCAGGUUAAAGGUUACCUCUGAAUAGAGACAAUGGAGAUGAGAUAUGGCCAGAAUAAAUUGGAGGCUUUGAUUG
ensembl:lncRNA LINC02394 long intergenic non-protein coding RNA 2394